ACAUGGUGUACUACUUCCUGGAGGAAAGC
rnacentral:piRNA from 1 species